rnacentral:rRNA from 1 species
UACAGAGGGGGCAAGCGUUGUUCGGAAUUACUGGGCGUAAAGGGCGCGUAGGCGGCCUGUUAAGUCGAACGUGAAAUCCCCGGGCUCAACCCGGGAACUGCGUCCGAUACUGGUAGGCUUGAAUCCGGGAGAGGGAUGCGGAAUUCCAGGUGUAGCGGUGAAAUGCGUAGAUAUCUGGAGGACCACCGGUGGCGAAGGCGGCAUCCUGGACCGGCAUUGACGCUGAGGCGCGAAAGCCAGGGGAGCAAACGGG